AGAACGAACGCUGGCGGCAUGCCUAACACAUGCAAGUCGAACGCUCUUGGUUUCGGCCAAGGGAGUGGCGCACGGGUGAGUAACGCGUGGGAACCUGCCCUGGAGUGGGGGAUAACCGAGGGAAACCUCGGCUAAUACCGCAUACGACCUGAGGGUGAAAGAUUUAUCGCUCUAGGAGGGGCCCGCGUCGGAUUAGCUAGUUGGUGAGGUAACGGCCCACCAAGGCUAUGAUCCGUAGCUGGUCUGAGAGGAUGAUCAGCCACACUGGGACUGAGACACGGCCCAGACUCCUACGGGAGGCAGCAGUGGGGAAUAUUGGACAAUGGGCGCAAGCCUGAUCCAGCAAUGCCGCGUGAGUGAUGAAGGCCUUAGGGUGUAAAGCUCUUUCACACGCGACGAUGAUGACGGUAGCGUGAGAAGAAGCCCGGCUAACUUCGCGCCAGCAGCCGC
rnacentral:rRNA from 1 species